CCGUAGCCCAAGAGAUCGGGAUAACACCUGGAAACAGAUGCUAAUACCGGAUAACAACAGAUGAUGCCUAUCAACUGUUUAAAAGAUGAUUCUGCUAUCACUCUUGGAUGGACCUGCGGUGCAUUAGCUAGUUGGUAGGGUAACGGCCUACCAAGGCGAUGAUGCAUAGCCGAGUUGAGAGACUGAUCGGCCACAUUGGGACUGAGACACGGCCCAAACUCCUACGGGAGGCAGCAGCG
rnacentral:rRNA from 1 species